UCCUCGGUAGCUCAACGGUAGAGCAGGCGGCUGUUAACCGCAAGGUUACAGGUUCGAAUCCUGUCCGAGGAGCCA
rnacentral:tRNA from 1 species